GGAUUGUGGCUCAGUGGUAGAGCGCUUGCCUCGCACAUGUGAGGCACUGGGUUCAAUCCUCAGCACCA
rnacentral:tRNA from 1 species